UCUAAGGAGUUUCUUUGAGGGGAACGAAACGAAAAAAACCACCUUACGAAACUCGUCUCGUGAGAAUUUGGGGUACGCGCUUGUUGUGUCCGUCCUUUAUUCGCAAAAUAAUCGUUUGAGCAGCCCGCCUAGUAUACUUCAGUCGGUCACCACGUGCUUUCGUGUGAAGGAGUCUCUUAAUCGCGUUCGCGAGUGUUGUAUGGUGUUAAUUAGUAAAUUUAUCGAUCUUUUUCUUUGCAAAUUACGUUCAUUCGUGAACAUUCGUUCGGUGUGUGAUUAGAAAUAUGUCGUUCUCGAGGAAGUACUUCAAACGGAUCCCAAUUUACGUCGUAGAAUCCCACGACGAAGUUUUGCCGUUUAUUUAUCGUUGUUUGGGAUCGAAGCAUCUUCCGUUUGAAGGAAACGUGUUCGUGCAUUUGGAUUCUCAUCCCGAUAUGCUUAUUCCGAAAACGAUGUUGGCGGAUACCGUGUGGGAUAAAGAUCAAUUAUUCAGUGAAAUAAGCAUCGAGAACUGGAUAUUGCCGGCUGCAUACGCGGGACAUUUGAAACACUUGAUCUGGGUCAAACCACCGUGGGCAAAUCAGAUGGCUGAUGGCGUAUCAACCUUCUUCAUCGGCAAGCAUAAGGACAACGGAUCAAUAAGGUGAGCCCGGAGGUUAUUUCAAAGUUGCAACUCAACUUUCUUCGAUCAAGGGUGACAGCUAUCGAAUUAUUUCACCAGAAAAUAAAUUUGAAUUCUUACGUAAGAUUCGUAUGAUCGAUCAAUGCUGGGCCAUUCAUCGAGUUCGCCAACUUCUCUGUUCGCGGUGCUCGUGACCUUGACUCGCAGGCGUCGCGACGCUAAGAGGUUUACCUUGGUAAACCCUGGUAUCUCGGGAUACCAGUCGGGGUCUCGGUCGAGGGAUUAAGACAGGGUUGUUGAGCGAGACGACAGAGGGCUGCUGGAAUCAGAACGAGAGAGACGGAGCUACGAAGGAGAAAAGGAAAAGAGGCUACUGUAACCGUACGCUCGUAUAAUUGAUUGAGUCUAAUGAGUUAAAGGGGAUACCGCCGUAGCAAGGGACGGAGAAAUUAAAGAGUUCUGGGUCAUGAAACCAACCCUCGGGACAGCGAAAGUGCGGAAACUUAGGUGCUUCUGUUCUCCUUCGACCCUCGCGAGUCGGCCACGAGGGCGCUGAUUGCAAAUUAGUUAAAGGAGAUGCCUCAUUAGGAUCAGCUGCUUUCUUCAAUUUUAACGUUGCAACACGCCACCUUCUUCUUUUUAUUAUAAAAGUUAAGAAAUUCUGAA